AGUAAAGUUCAGCUCUUCAUGCUCUGUGAUUGUUUCUGUGAGAAUCUGUUUUUCCUCUCUGCAAAUGCCUCCUGCCAUGGCCGACCUGUGAUGAGAGAUCUAUGCUGGAAAAGGAAACCUGUGGAGAAAAAUCUGUAGGAAAAGCAAACUGUGGAGAGACACGCCCUAGAAGUAUGUUUGUUUGUUUGUUUGUUUUUUGUUUUGUUUUCAGAAAUGAACUUUGUUUAUUCAUCUACCUGCCAGAAAAAAGACAUUAUUCCUGGUGUUCUGUGUUUGAGUCCAGUUCAGUUUUUGCCUGAAACAUCUGUCUAUAAACAUGGAUUCAACAGCCAUAAAUUCAAUUAAACACUCAUCAGCCACGUUAGUGCUCCUCGGAAAACACAAAGUUCCCCAGCACCUCUCCAAACAGCAGCAAGUAAACCUGCAGGAGACGGCUUAUGUGGGAGGAUAAGAGCACUUGGAUGAGCACAGGCUGUGCCAAGUGGUGGAAAGGAUCUGACUUGUUCUGAAUUCAUAAACAAGUUCAAGAGUGACUAGUACUGACGCAGCGGCUGACAGACUGUUCAACUUAUGGCAGAGAAGAAGUGUCUCUCUUCUAUGGAUUUUUGGAUUUUAUCCAAGGAGGCUGACUGGAAGACAAGGCCUGUCCGCUGUCCUGAUUAUCAUGAUCUGGAAGCUUUCCAUAAAGGUUCAAACUCUUCUUACCCCUUAAAGGCCGUAUUAUUACAGCAUUGAUCUGUUGCCUGGUCUACCCCCAACUACAACAACUUCAGUCCCCAAGUCUGAGGGUGAGGCCAUGGACAAGUAUAUCUGCAACUCACUGGCAGCUUGGAAAAUUUGCCCAUUAUCUUCUCUUGGUGUAGGAUCAAAACCCUUCAUCUAUGCAAAGACUAAAAUAAAUAUCCUCCCAACUUGGCCACCACUUUGAGUAUUUAGUAAUACCUUUUGGACUUACCAAAGCUACAGCUGUUUACCAAGCCUCAGCAAACAAUGUGCUCUGGGAUUUCCUAAAUGACUUCUGCUUUCUGAGCCACCAGUGCCACGUUCACCAGGGCCCUGUUUCAGAAAGCGGGUUUAGAAAACUCAGAGUUAAAAAUGAUACUCAGGGUUGAGUAACCCCGAACUGUCCAACUCGGAAUAUUCGGUUUCCAGAAAGGCUGAUAACAAUUAGUUCAAUCAACGCGGAGUUGCUUUAACCCCGAGUUAAGCGCGCGCACGAGGAUACAUAAAGCCCUGAUUAGUGGAGCACAGAUUAAGCGAGUCACCAUGGAGACGGAGGGAAAGAAGGCGCGAUCAAUGUAUUUUACAGCGCUUGAGGCCGAAAUUCUGAUGGCAGCAUAUGCCGAUAACAUGCAAAUUUUGCGGGAAAAAAGUAACACAGCCUCAGCUGCAAAAGAAAGGGAGCAUGCAUGGCAAAACAUAGCCGACAGUCAAUGCGUGAGAGUUAAUUUAAACAUUGAUCUAGGGA